GGAGGGUGUGGCUCAGUGGUAGAGCAUCUGCUUUACAUGCAAGAAGGUCCCUGGUUCAAUCCCUGGCAUCUCCA